CGGUGGGCCAGCGUGGCACCUUCAUCUCACCGGUUCCCAACCGAACCGAUAAAUAUUUUACAGCAAUGGCGAAAGGUGAUUAUUUUACAGCAAUCAGUUGCAUAGACUUGGAAGGCACCAGGAAUUAUUUUACGGCUAGAAGAUCUUGGCUCACAACUUGGUUUUUGUCUUUAUCUUGUCCCUUGUAUCUGGUUAGCAACUCCUCUGGACAGGAAGAGACCUUUGCGGUCCAGCAGCAGCGGGAAGCGAGUACGGGCUUCGCCUCAUGUCCUGUAGUUACUUUCUGGCAUGGGACACGCACAUCUGGACCUGAGGCUGGGAGCACAUGGAAGAGGAUGAUGAUAUGGAUAGGCUAUCUUACUUCCCUUUCUCUAGCCACAAGCAUUUCUGCGACCUGAGAAGCUUCCUUAGCCGUACUGGAUGGCCCUCUGGCUUCACUGGCUCAUAGUGCAGGGGAGCCAACCACACAAAGGGAUCAAGAGAUCACCUUCAUGCCUUCCACAUACGUUGGGUGAUGGAGUGCAGCCAACCAGCUGCUGUACAGAUCAGGCAAGAGGAUGCACGAACCAACCGUAUGCAACAUCUGUCACAGUAGGGGAUUGCUACCAGAUGCCAUCACCACUUUGUAAGAUGCUUCAUAUGACAAGCUUGGAAUAGUUAUAGCCACAUUUCAUAUUUCAUAUGACAUCUUGUAAGAACGGUUGGAGAACAAGGCACUUCACAGAUACUUAUUUCAUAUGACAGUUCAGAAAAUAGUUAUACACAAGUUAAAAGGAACACAACGAGCUGAUGGCAAACACUCUAUUUUUAUUGAAUUGAUGAUACUAUAUGCAUCAAACCGUUUGUAUGGGAGAAGGGGACGAUGAGCAAACUACAAGGACUAAAAGGGUGCAUCAAAGCAUAAAACCCAUGGAGGCGACGAUCUUGGGGAGAGAAAGAAGCAUCGCAAGCACGACUAUCAGUUCAAUGUAAACAAAUACAAAAAACCAGUCCCCAAUUUGAUCAGGCUCGCCCCCUCCACGAAUCAUCUAAGGGGGCGAUAUAUAUCGAAUGUAAGACAACGCAAAUGGAAAAGGCAUUGUUUAUUACAGGCCUAAAAUACCAUUCACGCUCCGACACAGGCAUCCUCCUCUCCCUUCGUUAUUCCAAGCUUCUGGGCAUGAGACCUUCAAGUGUGGUGUUGUUCUUUGGCAUCAACGAUGACAGAACCUCGCAGAGUGUGCUGAUCUUACAGUCUCUUGUCUGCAGCAAUGAUGCUUGUAGAUCUUCCCGGCAGAAGCACUUGUGCCGACUUGACUGGUGGCAUAGCAUGGUGUUGACGCUUGAGGAAGGCUACCAUCUUGGUGCUCUGCGGGAGGAGGGUGGUUCGUCUUCUUAUAGUUUACGCCGGGUGGUCAUGUAUUGAACGGCACUAGAGCAAGCCGCUCAUGGGCCC
rnacentral:rRNA from 1 species